UGUGGCCAUGAGAGUGCACUGCUCACAUC
rnacentral:piRNA from 1 species